UGGGGAAUAUUGCACAAUGGGCGCAAGCCUGAUGCAGCCAUGCCGCGUGUAUGAAGAAGGCCUUCGGGUUGUAAAGUACUUUCAGCGGGGAGGAAGGGAGUAAAGUUAAUACCUUUGCUCCUUGACGUUACCCGCAGAAGAAGCACCGGCUAACUCCGUGCCAGCAGCCGCGGUAAUAAGGAGGGUGCAAGCGUUAAUCGGAAUUACUGGGCGUAAAGCGCACGCAGGCGGUUUGUUAAGUCAGAUGUGAAAUCCCCGGGCUCAACCUGGGAACUGCAUCUGAUACUGGCAAGCUUGAGUCUCGUAGAGGGGGGUAGAAUUCCAGGGGUAGCGGUGAAAUGCGUAGAGAUCUGGAGGAAUACCGGUGGCGAAGGCGGCCCCCUGGACGAAGACUGACGCUCAGGUGCGAAAGCGUGGGGAGCAAACAGG
rnacentral:rRNA from 1 species